rnacentral:miRNA from 1 species
CGGGGGGUAGCUGGGGCCGC